GCUAAUAUAGCGUAGCGGUAACGCGUUCGGCUAAGAGACGGAAUGAUUUUAGCGUCGUGAGUUCGAAACCCGCUGUCGGCG
rnacentral:tRNA from 1 species